rnacentral:lncRNA from 1 species
AUGCAGACCAAGUUUUUCCGAACUGCUUACAAACAACACGAAGUCCAGCAGGUUCGGGUCAACGCCCACCAAGACCAUGUGUAGGUCUGCUCCUGUUCGGGUGAAUGCAGGGUUAAAUGGUUAAUAUAAAAAAAUAAAUGGUUUACUUACUAAUGACGUCGAUAAUAUAUAGCAAAUGUGCACAAACAUUUUUUUUCAAUGUGAUUUUGUUGUUCUUCUUAAUGCUAACUGGGUUACAUCUCAUGACAGAUUUAUAAUCCCAUGAUAGAACCUGAU